AAAGGCAGUUAUAACCCAGCCUCGUAUGGAGCUACUACAGUCUUCUCACAGUGAUCGGAGCCUCACCCUGCUCUUCACGUCCUUCAGUUUGGGAAGAAUCUCCAGGCCGAAGCCGUCGGCUUGACCUCUGACCCUGCUGCCUCCGUUCAUGUGGUUCCCCAGAGCCAGCACCAGUCCCACUACGUUCUUCACUUCGUCACUCUCCAGCAGAGCCUUUAACACAGAACACACACACAGGAUUUACUACAUUUAAAGACGGAGGAGAGGGUGUUGAGCUUGCGUUGGAUGGACGCGAUCCCGUCGAUGAAGGCCGACUGGAAGAUGAUGCAGUGAGCUCGUCCUGCAAAGUCUGGGAUCUGAGACAGCUCAUACAGGAACCUGGAUCACAAACACAUCAGCAAAAAGAGGGGUGGAGGCUGGAAAUGAGGAUGCCGACAGCCUGAGAGCGCUUUCCUUCCAACAGCUUAAUGAUCUGAGACACACACAGAUACACACACACGUAAAAUAACAAAGACAAACACAGUUACCAUGACCACCUCACCACUGAAAACCUUUAGUGACUCAUUAGUGGAGAGCUAUUGUGCCGAACAAACAAAAGUCUGAACACACCCCAUUAGCCCUUGGUGCCUGAGUUCAGCUCACUGUCUCUUAGCACUCUGAUGUCUUAUAUGUUGCACUAACAUCAAUGUAAUGCAGGUCAGGGAAUCCGACCAAUCAGAAUGUAGGUUGUAUGGACACAAAGAUAAAUGAACAAGACUCUGAUUUAAAGAGAUUAAAAAGUCACAAUUGAAUCAUUUGAUACAGUUAAUUUGAUCUCAGUCUGAUGCUCUAAUGCUUAUGACAGGUUUAAAAUGAACACUUGUUACCCCAUCUAGUGGACAAAAGAUAUAGUGCAACAAAUAAAAUCUCACAAGCUGAUAUACAGUAUAUCUAGUAUGAAGUGACCUCUGUGUUUACCUUCCGGGCUUUAGCUCUCUUCUCAUAAGCCUCAGACAGCGGCUUCCUCUUGGGCUGUUUGGUGGUUUUGGCAAAGAGAUCCUCAAACUCACUGGUGUUGAUGUUUGGUUCUUCCAGAACGUUCCACAGUGUGUUGUUACUGCAGAGGACAGAAACACAGAGUUAAUUUAUUCAGCCUGUGUUUUGAU